CCUACGGGUGGCAGCAGUGGGGAAUAUUGCGCAAUGGGGGAAACCCUGAUGCAGCAACGCCGCGUGAAGGAAGACGGUUUUCGGAUUGUAAACUUCUGUGAUAGGUGAAGAAUAGUAACGGUAGCUCAGAAGCAAGCCCAGGCUAACUACGGGCCAGCAGCCGCGGUAAUACGUAGGUGGCAAGCGUUGUUCGGAAUUACUGGGUGUAAAGGGCGGGGAGGCGGGAAGGCAAGUCAGGUGUGAAAACCAGGGGCUUAACUUGCAGACUGCAGUUGAAACUGGUUUUCUUGAGUGAAGUAGAGGUAGGCGGAAUUCCGAGUGUAGCGGUGAAAUGCGUAGAUAUUCGGAGGAACACCAGUGGCGAAGGCGGCCAACUGGGCUUUAACUGACGCUGAGGCUCGAAAGUGUGGGGAGCAAACAGGAUUAGAUACCCCAGUAGUC
rnacentral:rRNA from 1 species